rnacentral:rRNA from 1 species
UACGUAGGGGGCAAGCGUUGUCCGGAAUUAUUGGGCGUAAAGAGCGUGUAGGCGGUCCGGUAAGUCCGUUGUGAAAGUCAAGGGCUCAACCCUUGAAUGCCGGCGGAUACUGUCGGGCUAGAGUCCGGAAGAGGCGAGUGGAAUUCCCGGUGUAGCGGUGAAAUGCGCAGAUAUCGGGAGGAACACCAAUGGCGAAGGCAGCUCGCUGGGACGGUACUGACGCUGAGACGCGAAAGCUAGGGGAGCAAACGGG